UCCCUCUCGCACCCAACGCCUCUUCCUCUUCCUCUCCCUCUCGCCCACCGUCUCCUCCCCUCCACCGUCUCCCUGCUCCGCCACCGGCCUCCACCCUCUCCUCCUUACCUCACAUCCUCUCCCUCGGCGGCCCUGCUUCCGGAUCGAGCAGGGGAUGCCGCGGCGCUCCCAGAUCCGCGGUUGCUCGUCUUCGCGGCCGACGGACACGUCCUCGACAAUGAAGGAUUCGAGGGCGCUCGGAUCUGCACUGGCGCGGCCGACGGCGGCCGGGACGGAGCUGCUCCGUGCUCCACGACCAGGUGAACGCCUCCGCCUCCGCCGCCCAAGGCCACGCCUUCUUCACACUCCUGUCGUCGCGCGACGGGGGAGGAGGUCACUGCUUCCUCCGCCGUAUUUCACCGAGAGAGAAGGGCGCCGGCCGGUGUGCAUCUUCUCGGGCAACCACGCGGCCGUGCGGUCAGACGCCGCUCCUCCGCGCGAGGACUGGACAGGACAGGGCUGGGCGCGGCUCGGUUGGGGGGCAACUCCGAUCUUGGCGAUGCCAUGGAGAUUCUUCAAGAUCAUGACUUGGUGUUCUAUUGUGGUCACUUCUUCUUUCCAACUAGAUAAAUAUAUUGUUAUUCUCCUUUAUAGCUAUGCACGACUGGUUCACAAGGACGGCAAGGACCGCCACCGUGAUGGAAGAUGCUCGAAGUGGCCGCCGCCGCCGCCCCAAGACCAAACCUGCCUCCUCCGCAUGUGUUCCACUUGCUGUAUAGGAGCUGUGCACGGGCUGGUUCACAAGGACAGCAAGCACCGCCACUGUAAUGGAAGAUGCUUGAAGUGGAUGCGCCGCCCAAGACCAAACCCGCCUCCUGUGCACUUGCUCCGCUUGCUGUACAGUGGCCACCCAUGGCUCGUUGUCACGGCUGACGGCCAGGUCAGAUGGCUCUCAGAUCUGCGCUAGCGCGGCUGAAGGCGAUCGGGACGGAGGUCUUCCAGGGUCAGGUGAGCGCCUUCGCCACCUAAGACCCAGCCUUCUCCACAAUCGCGCCGGGAGAGGAGGCGGGGGCCGUCGCUGCUUCCUCCGCCAUCUUCCACCGAGAGAGGAGGUGGCCUCUAUGCUUCUUCACGGGCAACGACGCGGCCGUGCGGUCGGACGCCGCUCCUCCGCUCCAGGACAGGGCUGGGUGCGCCUUGGUUGGGGGGCAACUCUGAUAUUGACGACGCCAUGGAGCUUCUUCAAGCUAUGCAUGGCCGGCUGGUUCACAACGGCAACAAGCACCGUCACUGUGACGGAAGAUGCUUGAAGUGGAUGCUUCCGCCCAAGACCAACCUGCCUCCUCCAAUGCUUCCUCCGUACAUGUUUCGCUUGCUGUACAACUGUGUACGGCUGGUUCACAAGGACAACAAGCACCGCCACCGUGAUGGAAGAUGCUCGAAGUGGCCGCCCCCGCCGCCCAAGACCAAACCUGCCUCCACUGCUUCCUCCGCACGUGUUCUGAUUGCUGUACAGGUGCACAAGAGAUUGCCGUCCAUGUGCUGGUUUACAAGGAUGACAAGCAUAACGCACACCGGGAGAGGAGGAGGAGGAUGAGGGGGCUUCCUAUACUGUGUUUUGCAUUGCCUCCACCAAUCCCUGCACUUCUUCUUCCACUCCGGCGUGGAACACAAUAACAGCAUCCCUACAGAUGUGAAGGUGCCCAUCCCUAAUGGUUUCUACCGCCAUAUCUACAACCCUGACUGGAUUUAUCAAUAUAUGGGAUCUCUCCUUAUCCAGCGGUCACUCCGACGUCUGGCAUAGGUAAGCCACUGGUUCCUCCUCUGCUCUCUUUCGUUCUUUCUGUGCCCAAGGCCACAGAGCCAAUUUUUUGUACACGAAUGAGAUAAUUUCUGAGUUCCGAAUAGUGUGCACGAAUAAAUUUUGUAACGGAUCAUUUUAUAUUUGCUUGAAUUUGGAAGCCAAAUAAAAUUUCCUUUUGUGCCUUUUGUUUGCUGAUCCAUUGUAUGGGUGUACUGUGUAUGUUAAGGAGAUGGAGAAAGAUGUGGGUUGUAGCUUUAUAUAGAAUUGGCUUUUAGAAAUCCUGGUAUUGAUGGGGGAAAUAUAAUGAUCACCUUUUCCUGGUUAGAAAGUAGGCAGCGCUAUUUAACCUUUUUCUGAAAAUAUAAAUAUGAUGAAAACAUUAUAUUUCUAGAACCAAAUAAAAAUAUCUCCUUUUGUGUUUUUUAUGGAUAUCAUAUUGUUCCCCUACUACUGUAAAGAAUCAUUCAUGAUAAUAAUGUUUGGCAAUGCAUUGAUUUUGUAUAUCUUUCUUUUCUUUGUUAAACUAAGGUCAAAUAUCCUUUUCCUGUGGGAACAAGAACGAUGAUGUAUCUGCUUUGGCUGACUGUUUUGAGUUCCCAAAAGUUGAGAAUGAACUAAAUUGAGCAACAGAAAAAAAUAUAGGCUUUGACACAUAGAGGAAAAAAAAGAGAGAUGUAUUUCUGGAAACAAAUAAAAUUCUCACGUUUUGUGUAUUUUUAUGGCUGAUUCAUUGUAUGGGUGUACUAUUCAUGUAUGUAAAGGAGAUGGAGAAAGAUGGGAGUACUAGCUUCUAGAAAUACACCGACCUUUUGAAAUUCUGAUAUUGAUGGAGGGGAGAUAAUGAUCAGUGUGUCCUGGUUAUAAAGCUUGCAAAAAUGUAGAAAAAUAGGCAGAGCUAUUAAACAUUUUUCUGGACAUUAAGGUCAGGAGUAACGUAUUGUAUUUCUGUUCCCUUGAUACUUCUACAUUCUUUUCAUGACUGGUAAUGAAAAAUGUCCCCUUUUUGGUAUGAACGCCCUCCAUGAUGCUGGCGGCCUUGGCAUCCUACCGGUCUACUUGUAUCUCCCUUGGGAGGUCAAGAUGGAUGCUGGCAUGCCCGACACCGUUCAGGCAAGGUCAUGAGGAGCUUGAUGCUGCUUUGUUUGUGGGAGCUUGAAGAGUUCACAAAGGUGAAAAUAGUGAAGAUAGAACUUGGGAAAUAUGAGAUAGAUACCUGGUAUUUCUCUCCUUCCCCACUUUAAGCACAAAGAACAGCUUCAGAGGCACAUUGUGCGCUUGCACUUAUUAUUUUUACUGUAUUGUCAGUUCCGUGUUUGUGAGAUAGGCAUUGCUAACUUGCAACUUGUGAACCGGUUUACACCUUGUCUGUCUCUCUCGGCCCUUGUAUCUUGAUUUUACAUGUACCAGUAGACAUCACUUCUGUUAUUUAGAUACAAGUUUUGUGUUUGGACAUGUGAAUUUUCUCUCACUACUUGAAGGUUUCAUGUGGAAUUUCCGAGAGUACCAAACCAACUCCUAGUUUUUCACCCUUCUGUUAGUCCUUGUAUCUAAAUUAACUGCAACUAUUUUCUGCAAGGAACUGCAUUAAGCAAGAACACGAACCCCUGUCUCCACCACAUAUAUUUCUCAUUGUCAAAGGAAGGUCAUCUUUAGAAAUCUGAAGUCAUGGCUGCCUGUUAGGGUGUCUUUGGAUCCUAAGCAAUUGUAGUGUUAGCUUGCUUAGCAAGGAAAUCUGUUUGGUAAAAGCUAAACUAACCUGGCAAUUCCAUCUAGCCUGCACAUGCUAGAAAAGCCUUGCCCCAGCAGGAGGGCCAAUUUGGCUCUCCGUUGGUAAUAAAUGAGUGGAAGAAAGAAAUCAAGGUAACUGCCACUGGAAUUGUGCUUAACCAAGGAGAUUGGUAGCUGAACCAAAUAGCUGGCUUUGCCCACGUAGGCUGUAGCUCAUAAGCCUUGGUUAGCUCGGCAUUGACGGCAAAAGAUAUAAACACACCCUCAAUGACAUCACUCCCUCUAAUUCACAAGUGCUGUUUGGACAUUAGCACGCUCCACACCGUAACUUCGACAAGCAAUUUCUGCUAUCAUGCAUAUAUUUAAAUUUUUUCUGAGUGGACAGAGUACCAUAUGUUGACAGUACCAUAUGUUGACUUAGGUGAACAUUUCUGGUUUGUGCAAUAUAUUUAGUUGCCGAUUUGAUCGAUUAGAUUUAGAUAGAAAGCGUCCAAAUACGAAGAAAAUUGCUGAGCCAUUAAACUGUUUUCUGGAGAUCAAAGUCACCACGUAUUCUAUGGAGGGCUCGCAGAAUGGCGCCUGUACAGAAAUGAGUUGACUUUGUGUUGUUAUCCGGCUUGUUUAGUUUGUUGACCUAUUUGUGUUUAUUGAUCCAUAUUUAAAUGUUCUCAAUUCACAGUCAACAGGAGGUUGGAUGAGUGGGUUAAACUUGAACAACCUGCUCUCUCUCACGUUGCUCUUCACCUUUGUUUGAAUUCGUUUUGCAUCGUUUGGUAGAACCGGGAUGAAUUUUGAUUAAGUUGUUUGCCCUUUCUUUGUGUUGUGUUCAAUUUCAUCACUGAUUUCCUUGUUAGUACCACUGCUUGUUUCUGCGACUAUUCUAAUUGCAGACGACGACAUCAGCAUCCCUACAGAUCUGAAGCGGCCCAUCCAUAAUGGUUUCUACCGCCAUAUCUACCAACCCCGACCGGAUUUAUCAUUGCAUGGGAUCUCUCCUUAUCCGACGCUCACUCUGACGCAUCUGGCAUAGAAGUGAUUGCAAAGGAGCUGGAUGUGCAGGGCCAUGGCAUCCCGAUGACAGUGGCCAACAUCACCUACAUGGGCAUGAACGACCUCCAUGCUGCUGGCGGCCUUGGCACGCUACUGUUCUACCUUUAUCUCCUGGAGGUCAAGAUGGAUGUUGACAUUCCCAACACUGUUCAGGGUAAUUCAUUCAUUCAUGCCUCAUACUUGGCACGCUACUGUUCUACCUUUAUCUCCUGGAGGUCAAGAUGGAGGUCAAGGUGGAUCGGCAGGAGCUAAAGGUUUCUCACUGGAGCGGAACUCCUUUGCACGGAGUCUCAUAACGCAGACUCAUCCCUGAAAGCGCUGUGACAACACUCAGGUUCAAUCAUGUGUUGCCCCCUGAAGGCUGCUCCUGUGUCCAGCCUUGCCAAUCAGGCCGGCCUCCACAUGCUGGAGGCGCCGCUGAUUGCUCUCCAGGUUCCCCAAGAUCAUGCAGCGGGUACUUAGCCAGCUACCAUUGUGAAUGAAUGGCAGACUCGCCCCCGGCUGUUUGUAACAAAACUGGAAGUUUGAAACUCUUGCUUUGUUCAUGGUUUGGCGUACCUACCCUGGCGGUGUGUGCGUGUUCUUGCAAAUAAGGUCUAUGGCCCAUUUACAUAUAUUUGAUGCUCUUAGAUGGACAUGAAAACACUUGGCGCCACUAUAUUUUAGGUCCAUGUUCUAACUGUCAAUAAUAUGGCACUACACUUGGUUUUAUCUCCUGUUUUUUAGAGUUCGGUGAAAAACUGCCACACCAAAGUUGGUUGCUUCUAGGUGCUAUUGUAUAGUGAAUGAUAACUGAUUUAUAGUCCUGAGAUGUUUAUUUGUGUUCAA